rnacentral:misc_RNA from 1 species
GUAUAUAUUAUAUAGGCACAACAUUCUAUUGACAUACAUGGGAGUAAAUGAAGCAACAUAGACCUGAAAGGUCUACAAAAGGUGCACAGGUGGAGAUAUAAAGAUGACAAGGUGUGCACAUGCUCCCUAGAGAACCAGCAACAACCCAUCAGGUUUAUUUCAAUAAUGAUCCUUCCGCAGGUUCACCUACGGAAA